rnacentral:rRNA from 1 species
UACCACCCUUUAAUGUUUGAUGUUCUAACGUUGGCCCGUAAUCCGGGUUGCGGACAGUGUCUGGUGGGUAGUUUGACUGGGGCGGUCUCCUCCUAAAGAGUAACGGAGGAGCACGAAGGUUGGCUAAUCCUGGUCGGACAUCAGGAGGUUAGUGCAAUGGCAUAAGCCAGCUUGACUGCGAGCGUGACGGCGCGAGCAGGUGCGAAAGCAGGUCAUAGUGAUCCGGUGGUUCUGAAUGGAAGGGCCAUCGCUCAACGGAUAAAAGGUACUCCGGGGAUAACAGGCUGAUACCGCCCAAGAGUUCAUAUCGACGGCGGUGUUUGGCACCUCGAUGUCGGCUCAUCACAUCCUGGGGCUGAAGUAGGUCCCAAGGGUAUGGCUGUUCGCCAUUUAAAGUGGUACGCGAGCUGGGUUUAGAACGUCGUGAGACAGUUCGGUCCCUAUCUGCCGUGGGCGCUGGAGAACUGAGGGGGGCUGCUCCUAGUACGAGAGGACCGGAGUGGACGCAUCACUGGUGUUCGGGUUGUCAUGCCAAUGGCACUGCCCGGUAGCUAAAUGCGGAAGAGAUAAGUGCUGAAAGCAUCUAAGCACGAAACUUGCCCCGAGAUGAGUUCUCCCUGACUCCUUGAGAGUCCUGAAGGAACGUUGAAGACGACGACGUUG